rnacentral:rRNA from 1 species
AUGCACCAGAAAAUCUUUUCAGUUUUUCUAACAAAGACUGGAGCGGAAGAUAUCCACCAUCCUUUUCGAUUGCGAGGGGAUCCACCUGGUUGUGGUGUUCAAGAAUACGAGCUUGUUUGUAGCGAUGACCAGGCUAUAAUUCAAGUCAACACAGGAAGAUACUUCAUCACCAACAUCUCGUACAGUGACUCUAUUUUCUGGGUUGUUGAUGCCAGUUUGGAUAAUAGCAUAAUAGCAGCUGCCCUAUUCCUGAGAGGAAUCAACAUCCUUAUAUCCAUGGAUUGA